UGACAGUCUGCGCCGGCAGCCUGUCACUCAAAGUGUGGAUCAACAAUUCUUAGGCCGUAGAUGGAAUUGUUGGUUGACGCUUUUUUUA
rnacentral:ncRNA from 1 species